ACGCCUAAUACAUGCAAGUCGAACGAAGUAGCAAUACUUAGUGGCAGACGGGUGAGUAACAUGUAGGUAUCUUCCCAUUGGUGAGGAAUAACACGAGGAAACUUGUGCUAAUACCUCAUAAGUCUUCACGGAGAAAGCUUUAUGCGCCGAUGGAUGAGCCUGCACUUGAUUAGUUAGUUGGUAGGGUAAUGGCCUACCAAGACAAUGAUCAAUAGCUGAUUUGAGAGGAUGAUCAGCCACAUUGGGACUGAGACACGGCCCAAACUCCUACGGGAGGCAGCAGUAGGGAAUCUUGCACAAUGGGGGAAACCCUGAUGCAGCGAUGCCGCGUGAGUGAAGAAGGCCUUUGGGUUGUAAAGCUCUUUCGUCGGGGAAGAAAAUGACUGUACCCGAAUAAGAAGGUCCGGCUAACUUCGUGCCAGCAGCCGCGGUAAUACGAAGGGACCUAGCGUAGUUCGGAAUUACUGGGCUUAAAGAGUUCGUAGGUGGUUAAAAAAGUUGGUGGUGAAAUCCCAGAGCUUAACUCUGGAACUGCCAUCAAAACUUUUUAGCUAGAGUAUGAUAGAGGAAAGCAGAAUUUCUAGUGUAGAGGUGAAAUUCGUAGAUAUUAGAAAGAAUACCGAUUGCGAAGGCAGCUUUCUGGAUCAUUACUGACACUGAGGAACGAAAGCAUGGGUAGCGAAGAGGAUUAGAUACCCUCGUAGUCCAUGCCGUAAACGAUGUGUGUUAGACGUUGGAAAUUUAUUUUCUGUGUCGCAGCGAAAGCAAUAAACACACCGCCUGGGGA
rnacentral:rRNA from 1 species